CCAGUAACGGCGAGUGAAGCGGCAAGAGCUCAAAUUUGAAAGCUGGCUCCUUCGGGGUCCGCAUUGUAAUUUGCAGAGGAUGUUUCGGGAGCGGCUCCCAUCUAAGUGUCCUGGAACGGACCGUCAUAGAGGGUGAGAAUCCCGUAUGGGAUGGGGUGUCCGCGCCCGUGUGAAACUCCUUCGACGAGUCGAGUUGUUUGGGAAUGCAGCUCUAAAUGGGUGGUAAAUUUCAUCUAAAGCUAAAUAUUGGCCGGAGACCGAUAGCGCACAAGUAGAGUGAUCGAAAGAUGAAAAGCACUUUGAAAAGAGAGUUAAAAAGCACGUGAAAUUGUUGAAAGGGAAGCGUUUGCGAUCAGACUCGCCUUCGGGGUUCAGCCUGCCUUCGGGCAGGUGUACUUCCCCGUCGGCGGGCCAGCGUCGGUUUGGGUGGCCGGUCAAAGGCCCUGGGAAUGUAACGCCUCUCGGGGCGUCUUAUAGCCCAGGGUGUCAUGCGGCCUACCCGGACCGAGGAACGCGCUUCGGCUCGGACGCUGGCAUAAUGGUCGUAAACGACCCGUCUUGAAACACGGACCAAGGAGUCUAACAUCUAUGCGAGUGUUCGGGUGUCAAACCCGUGCGCGAAGUGAAAGCGAACGGAGGUGGGAACCCUUUGGGUGCACCAUCGACCGAUCCUGAUGUCUUCGGAUGGAUUUGAGUAAGAGCAUAGCUGUUGGGACCCGAAAGAUGGUGAACUAUGCCUGAAUAGGGCGAAGCCAGAGGAAACUCUGGUGGAGGCUCGCAGCGGUUCUGACGUGCAAAUCGAUCGUCAAAUUUGGGUAUAGGGGCGA
rnacentral:rRNA from 1 species